GUCUACGGCCAUACCACCCUGAACGCGCCCGAUCUUGUCUGAUCUCGGAAGCUAAGCAUGGUCGGGCCUGGUUAGUACUUGGAUGGGAGAGAUACAGAUACAUAAUUC
rnacentral:rRNA from 1 species